rnacentral:sRNA from 1 species
GAUUGGCGUAUUCCACUCUCUGGCUCGUGACAUGCUCUUCUCUUGCAUAGACUCACUCGAAACAGCAUCCAAAGCAAUCAUGGAAUCUCCAGCUCCUGCAAAAGGAUGGAGCAAGAAGCUCGAUGCUCAUCUAUUCGUCGUCAAGCAUUUGCUCAUUCUACGUGAGCAAACUGCUCCAUACCGUCAGAAUGUGUUGAGGUGGUUGUGUGCUCUGAAAUGAGAGCUUGUAGAAAAACCGUUUAAACUAGUUUCAGGUCGGAUUCUCUCAACACAAAGGACUUUUCCAUCGACUUUUCCAAGUUUACAAAUGUUUUGUUUGAUUCCAAAUCGAAAUGGUUCGAGUUGAGCACUGACAAUGCGCUUUUGGAGCUCAUCACUACA